rnacentral:rRNA from 1 species
GGACUACCGGGGUAUCUAAUCCUGUUUGAUACCCACACUUUCGUGCCUCAGCGUCAGUUAUAAUUUAGUAAGCUGCCUUCGCAAUCGGUGUUCUUGACAAUAUCUAUGCAUUUCACCGCUACACUGUCAAUUCCGCCUACCUCAAGUAUACUCAAGUCUAACAGUAUCAAUGGCAGUUCUCCAGUUGAGCUGGAGGCUUUCACCACUGACUUAUUAGACCGCCUACGCACCCUUUAAACCCAAUAAAUCCGGACAACGCUUGCACCCUCCGUAUUACCGCGGCUGCUGGCAC